CGAACGUCUGCAUCAUCCUUCCUUAGUUCCACUCGCAUGAACAAAUUCCUCUUCCGACUCAAAGUAACAUUUAAAGGAUAAACAUACAAGCAAUGAAAAAGCUGCAAGAAAGGCUCAUUUCGCAUUGUUGUACGGAAGUCAAAUGCUUGGAAAUCAUCAGCAUUCAUCUCAGGGUUUCCAUGGCCACUAGAACUAUUUCCAGAAAUUUCUUUCCCAUCAUAGAUAUUCCACUUGGAGCUGCUAGUUUGAGGAUGGUCAGAGCCAUUGCUAGGGCAUUUUGUAAGAGUGGAAUCAGCAAUUCGGUCUCCUGGAUCAACGGACUCAUUGGUCAUGCUACCACUUUCGGAUAGGUUUUCCAAGUCAGAAUGGCCUGUCUGGUGCUUCUCAAUUUCUAGUCUGAGAACACCUCUGACUGGUUUGUGAACCUUGCGUUUAGGAUCCUGAAGAGAGUCCUCAGUAUAACUUUCUUUAACUUUAUUUAAGUUUGAUAUUUCAACAACAACCGAGCUUCCACUUGAAUAACCCAAUUUCCCAUCCAGUGUGAUAUUUG
rnacentral:misc_RNA from 1 species